UGGGGAAUAUUGGACAAUGGGCGCAAGCCUGAUCCAGCCAUGCCGCGUGUGUGAAGAAGGCCUUCGGGUUGUAAAGCACUUUUGUCCGGAAAGAAAAGCUUUGGGUUAAUACCCCGAAGUCAUGACGGUACCGGAAGAAUAAGCACCGGCUAACUUCGUGCCAGCAGCCGCGGUAAUACGAAGGGUGCAAGCGUUACUCGGAAUUACUGGGCGUAAAGCGUGCGUAGGUGGUUCGUUAAGUCUGAUGUGAAAGCCCUAGGCUCAACCUGGGAAUUGCAUUGGAUACUGGCGAGCUAGAGUGCGGUAGAGGAUGGUGGAAUUCCCGGUGUAGCAGUGAAAUGCGUAGAGAUCGGGAGGAACAUCUGUGGCGAAGGCGACCAUCUGGGCCAGCACUGACACUGAGGCACGAAAGCGUGGGGAGCAAACAGGAUUAGAUACCCGCGUAGUCCCUGAGCGGGCUGGCAAGGCGCAU
rnacentral:rRNA from 1 species